AUUGAACGCUGGCGGCAGGCCUAACACAUGCAAGUCGAGCGGGGUUUUCGGAUCUAGCGGCGGACGGGUGAGUAAUGCGUAGGAAGCUACCCGAUAGAGGGGGAUACCAGUUGGAAACGACUGUUAAUACCGCAUAAUGUCUACGGACCAAAGUGUGGGACCUUCGGGCCACAUGCUAUCGGAUGCGCCUACGUGGGAUUAGCUAGUUGGUGAGGUAACGGCUCACCAAGGCGACGAUCUCUAGCUGGUUGGAGAGGAUGAUCAGCCACACUGGAACUGAGACACGGUCCAGACUCCUACGGGAGGCAGCAGUGGGGAAUAUUGGACAAUGGGCGCAAGCCUGAUCCAGCCAUGCCGCGUGUGUGAAGAAGGCCUUCGGGUUGUAAAGCACUUUCAGCGAGGAGGAAGGGUGGUGUGUUAAUAGCACAUCAUUUUGACGUUACUCGCAGAAGAAGCACCGGCUAACUCUGUGCCAGCCGCCGCGGUAACAC
rnacentral:rRNA from 1 species